AUUGAACGCUGGCGGCAGGCCUAACACAUGCAAGUCGAACGAGUGGCGGACGGGUGAGUAAUGUCUGGGAAACUGCCUGAUGGAGGGGGAUAACUACUGGAAACGGUAUCUCAUACCGCAUACCCUCAGAUGUGCCCAGAUGGGAUUAGCUGGUUGGUGGGGGAACGGCUCACCAGGGCGACGAUCCCUAGCUGGUCUGAGAGGAGACCCAGCCAAAAUGGAACUUAGACACGGUCCAGACUCCUACGGGAGGCAGCAGUGGGGAAUAUUGCACAAUGGGGGCAAGCCUGAUGCAGCCAUGCCGCGUGUAUGAGGAAGGCCUUCGGGUUGUAAAGUACUUUCAGCGGGGAGGCGUUACCCGCAGAAGAAGCACCGGCUAACUCCGUGCCAGCAGCCGCGGUAAUUC
rnacentral:rRNA from 1 species